GUUGCUCUUCAAUCUGGACAUGUUGCGCAUUCUGUUUCUUCCCUGAGGUUCUCAGGGGCUAGGCUGAGGCUAUCUCUGUUCCUGUUGGCAGUGCGCUCAGCAAUGUGACUGCCCUGGUGCGAUGCCAUAAAUAUUCUGACGAGAUGGGUUUCUGGGUUUGUCUUGGGGAAUUCCAGUUCGCCUUAGGGUUUGGCCGGAUGCGGCCUAGUUAUCUCAAGAGGAUGGGUGCGCUUGCUGGAGGUCGGAAUAGGCCUAUGUUAAUCUAGCGCUGCACGAAGUGGUGGAACAGGCCGUGGCUGGUCAUGGUGGG